rnacentral:rRNA from 1 species
AAUCAACGCUGGCGGCGUGCCUAACACAUGCAAGUCGAACGAGAAAGUGGGGGCAACCCUGCGAGUACAGUGGCAGACGGGUGAGUAACACGUGAACAACCUACCCUUGAGUGGGGAAUAACACCGCGAAAGCGGUGCUAAAACCGCAUAAAAUCCUUUUAUCGCAUGGUGAAGGGAUCAAAAGCGCAAGUUGCUUGAGGAGGGGUUCGCGGCUGAUUAGCUAGUUGGUGAGGUAACGGCCCACCAAGGCAACGAUCAGUAGCCGGCCUGAGAGGGCGAACGGCCACACUGGAACUGAGACACGGUCCAGACUCCUACGGGAGGCAGCAGUGGGGAAUUUUGCGCAAUGGGCGAAAGCCUGACGCAGCAACGCCGCGUGGAGGAUGAAGGCCUUCGGGUCGUAAACUCCUGUCGAUGGGGACGAAAGCCUAGCAAUAGGAUUGACUGUACCCGUUGAGGAAGCCACGGCUAACUCCGUGCC